GUGUAGAGAUCCAAAAUAGUUCAUUGGAGUUGGACGAUGGUCGACGCUUCAUGUACUCGGAGCUUGUAAAGAUUACCAAUAAUUUUGCAUCGCCAAUUGGAGCAGGUGGAUUUGGAAAAGUCUAUCAUGGUAUUCUGGAAAAUGAUAUGCAAGUUGCCGUCAAGUUACUUAUUUCCGCAUCAGGCUCCAGUGAAUUUCAAAAUGAGGUCGAUAAGUUAGCAAUCUUAAAGCGAUUCGGACUGUCCCAAAACCACAAUCAUAUAUAAACCAAUCUGUGUAUGCAGGUUAAGCUAUUGAUGAGAGCUCAUCAUAGAAAUGUGGUUUCCUUCACUGGCUACUGCUAUGAUGGAAAGACUAUGGCACUUGUAUUUGAAUAUGUUGCCAAUGGAAAUUUACAACAACAUUUAACAGCUUCAGGUAUGCAGUUACAGUAUUUCAUCUAUAUAUAUAUAUGAUGUGCUUGCAUUACUUGAUGAUCACUUAUAUGCUAAAUGCAAUGAAUUGUGUGCACUGUUGGGGUUCAGAUGUAGAUACAGGAAACAUUUUGACUUGGAAGGAGAGACUUCAAAUCGCAGUGGAUGCAGCACAAGGUAUACAAUAGCUGAGAUAUAAGAACAAUAUAUAUGUGAAAUGGAUUGUUCCUUUGGUCUUCCUAUAUAUUUCCUAAAUCAUGAUUGAGUUGCAAUAUGAUGUACAUUAGUACCUGACAUCGAUUAGGCUUUUAAAAGGCAGAUAAUAUUUUGCAGGACUGGAUUAUCUACAUAAUGGUUGCAAGCCUCCCAUAAUCCACAGAGAUAUAAAGACCUCCAAUAUAUUGUUAACUGAAAAGAUGCAAGCCAAGAUAUGUGAUUUUGGUGUUUCCAAACUUCUUUCAACUGAAACUGCUACUCAUACCAUGACAGAUCACGUCAGAGGAACUCGAGGAUACUUUGAUCCUGAGUAAGUUAGUAAAGACGUAUAUAAGUUACUUAAAAAUUGCUGAAAGAUAAAUUGCUGAUAGAUAAGCAUAACUUACAUUCUUCGAUUUUCUUCUUUUCAUCUCGUUAUGUUCAGAUACUACACCACAGGAAAGCUGAACAAAAGAGUGAUAUAUACAGCUUUGGUAUUGUGUUGCUAGAGCUAAUCACCGGCAGAACAGCAAUAAUAACAGAUGUAGAACCCGAACCUGUUCACAUAUGUCAAUGGGUGAGGCCUAUGUUUCAGAGAAGAGAUAUUGAAAGUAUAUUCGAUUCAAGGAUACAAGCAGGGACUUACAACGUUACCUCUGCUUGGAAGGCGGUAGAAAUCGCCAUGGAAUGUGUGUCAUCAACAGCUAUCGAAAGACCAGAUAUCAAUGUUGUGUAUAAGGAACUGAAGGAAUGUUUGAAAAUUGAGGUUCCACCUGAAAUAGCAAAGGUUCCAGAGGUUGAUGAUGAGAGUGAUGAUUGCAGUACUAGUUCAAGUGUCCCUGUUCUACAUGACGUCCCACACUCGGUCUGAAAGCUUCUUAGUUCAUAUGAAGUCACACAUUGAGUCUGAAACUGAAAGGCAUACGUGUUAGUUAUUAUUUUGUUUUGAAAUCAACAUUUUAGUUAUUCUUGCACUGUUAAAACAAGAUUGGAAUUAUACGAGGGCGGAAACUAAUUGAACUAUUUCUACAAAUCUAGCAGAACAUUGCUCUGAUUAAAACUGUUCUUUCACUUCUUUCCAAGAGUAUAUUAUUACCUCUGGAGAAUCCAGAAGUAUGUUUUAAAUUAAGUUCUUGCAACUGGAAGUGGCACUCGUAUAUCAACUUAUGCAAAGGAACAUUUCGGGUACCUUGAUGCUGUAAACUGCUGGUUAUAAAAACUGAUGAAGAUUUUCAACGUUCGCGAUUAUUUCAGGAUCAAUGACUUCUGAUAAACAGUUGCACAGAUCAAUGAGAUCGUUGUUGAUACGAAUUCGAGCAGCUCAGCUCAUGGAAGAAAGAGCUGCAACACAAAAAUGCUAGAUAGAUAAUUCAUUGUCAAAAGUUUGGAAAUCGAUUAAUUCAUAGUGGGUCGUCCAUCUAUGUAAUGAAACUAGAUAUUGAAAAAGCUUCCAUAGUCUGAAGAAAGUAGUCGUUCAGAAAUCAGAAGUAACAAAUACUGGAGUAACAAAUACUUUUCAAUACAUCUAUCCGCAGAAAAUGAACCGAGAAAGACUGUUAGGCACAUGAACUAGAUUCCCUAAAUAUUACAAAUGUCAUGAAUUACAUCCCUGCCAACAUUUCCAGUAAAAUUUACAUCAAGCAUAGAGGCACAAUUCUGGUCAGGUCUUAGGAAAUUGGCUUUCUUUCUUUUGAUUAUCUAGAUGAUGAUUAGAACCCAAAUUGAGAAUGAUAGAUUAGGGAUGCAGUUUUGUGAGAUUGUAAGCCUCGAAGCCAUCACCUACCUUGCACACUGGCAGGAGAUUGUCCACCUCUCUCACUGCCAAUAUCAUCUUCUACUCCACUCACGUCUAAACAAAGGCCAUUGUUGUUUACACUGACUUCAGAGCUAGCAUUACUGCUGGUGGCAAGAGGAGAAUCUGAAACACUAACCGUUCUGCUUCGUGCAGGCCCUGAUCUCACACUGUACAUAGAGGAUGCAGGAAUAUUUGUCAUCAACGGCCGCAAAUUACCAGGAAUGGUUCGCCUUAUAUCCUGCAAUCAAAAGUUAAAUCAAAUAUUAAUAUCACUGGGUUUCUGGGAUGUACAUCAAAUCAUAAACAGGAAAAGAAUGAUUACCAUGUGACGUAUAGCCAUAUCAAGGGAUUUCUUUGAGAGUGUUCUACCAAAGCCGGAACUGUCUGGGGAUGAAGAUGACUUCCCAGAGUUACCAUGAGGUGACGGUUUGUCAUCAUGCUUGGGGGGAGCCAGUCUCCGCAUAUUUAUUACCCUCUCAACCAUUUUCGUUCCCAUUAAAACAGGGCUCACAUUGUCAUUAACUUUAGAACGCCCACGACUGAAUGCAGGAACAGAGCUCCCACUAAUAUGAGUACUGCCAUUGGGAGCCCUUCCUCUUGAAGGAGAGCAUAAACAGUAGCAAAACCUUCUCAAAUCAAGUAAAUUUUUCAAACGCAAUUUAUAAGCUGAGCAAAGUGAUUGCAGCUUGGGCAGAUGCGAAAGAGUUCAAUAGUUCAGACACUCAUGUAACGGCCAAUCAGGCUUUGCAAUGAACAAGUUUUGACCUUUUCUGCUUCCUAUUGCAUAUUUUUUAGGAUAAUAAAUGCCAAGCGUAUUAAUUACUUGAAAGUUAAAAAGGAGAGUCAAAAUCAAAUCCAUAUGAAACGGCUACUCCUAUCACAUAGAGAUGCAUAUACUCCAACCACUCCAGAUUAAGAAUUACUACCCUCAUAAUAAGGAAGUGCUAACUCUAGAUUUGAGUGCAGUUGGACGAGCCUUUGGGGUUCCAAGCUGACUCAUCAUGGUCUUAUGUGAUUCCAUUUACAGUGAAGGGAAAAGAGGAGUCCCAGGCGGAGUUAAAAGCCUGCAGCAAGGGGGGAAAAAUCAUAUAAUGAUCUCAGUUAAAGCAGAACAUAAUAUAUAAUAAGACCCAACUUCAAAAGCCAAUUGCCACCUCUGCUAAAGUCUGAUCCUAAUAUGCUCUUAAGAACAAAAUAACACAUGUUUCCAUGAACUGUGGUCAGCAUUCCUUUCCAAAAAUUACUCAUAGUAGAUCCCCGCCUCCCCUAUUAUCUAUCAAAACCCUCUCAGCUAAAAAACAACUUUUACAGAUAAAAUGUAAUCUAUACUAUCACAUUACCAAUCAUAGUCAUUCUUAUCAUUCUCCAAAUUGAGAAACUUAUCAGUUCCACUCUUGCGCGUCAUCAGUUCCACUCUUGCGCGUGGAGGGCGCCGGCGUAGAUGAGGAUAUAUUAAAAAUGGGAGAAGUUCCGGGUUUAGCCCCUGCAAAUGUCGAAACAACCACACUAGUCAACCCACAUUUCCAAACAAUUCAAGCCAACUAUUACACUAAUACAGCACCAGUUCAAGAACUAAAUUUGAAAUCCUAUGUUACAAUCCAAAAUCCGAAAAAAAAACUAAGACUUGGGAACUGAGAAGUACCUAAAGGCGCAACGAACUCUUCAGAAGUGUUGAGAAGAAGAUCGUUCCUCUCCUUCUCCCUCUUCUUCAUCUCUAGAAACAACACCAGCUCUUCUUCCUUCUCCUUCCUCAUCAAGGCCCUCAGCUUGUGAAGUUCCAAGUACUUCCGGUAUGUUAAGCAAAAAAUAUAACAGGUGUUUAUCAUGGCACAAUACACCUGUUUGGUAGAACAACAUCCAUGGCCAGGAACUUGUCCUCAUUCUGGUCUCAGCUUCAGUUAAAUGUUAUAUGUUUAGCAGGGUAACUGAAGAAUGGAAGAAGCGAUUUUUCUUUUUCAAAGAACAAUAUUAAGACAUUAAGUGGGGGCAAUUGCCCUCACUAGGCAUAACAUGCGUCCGCCUAUGGCAGUAGAAGUAAUUCACUGACUCACUAUUAAGAGACUACAUACCUACAUUCUAAUCUGAACAUGUAAACUUUGAGUUUCAGAAAUGUACAAGUUUGGAGUAUUUCUGCUAGGGAUGAUGGUAAACAGGAUGCCACAAAAAGAGUUUGAGAGGUGCAACGAUUGUUAUAUGCAGAAUGCAUUAUCUUAGAAAUCGAGAGACACCGACAGACCCGAAAAUGGAAUUGACUCAAAACAUUGAUGCAAAUAUUCAAAAUACUCUUAAAACAAUAUCCUUACUUCACAGUUCACAUUCAAUAUACUCAUAUCUCACGAUGUUAAGCUGAAUAAAAUUCAAGGGAAUUGAGAUGAACAUGCCAAUCUAUAUACUAAUCAUUACUAUUGCAGCAUAAUACUCCAACAUUCUCAACUCGCAAAAAAGGAUAGAUUAACACAACAAAGCUUUAAUUCAACCAAUAUAUACAAACUCAUCAUUGAUCGUUACCUUCACCAACGAGAUGGCAGUUACCAACAAGAUGAAUACUUCAAUCGGCUGCAAAUUCGAAAAAAAUUUAUUUAUCCCCAAUUUCGGAUUAAAUCUAACGCCGGGCCCAAGGUUUCAAACAUUUUUACGAUCUUGGGUUGUCCGGAAUGGAAUGUUGACAGCCAAGAGGACCUCGAUGUCGAUCGAUUGCUUGAGUAAUAGACCCGGUAAGCAAGAGGAUGAGUGGUUGGUCGGCUUGAAUGGGUUAUGCUAUUAUUGUUUUAUUGCGUCUGCUUUUUCUUUUUUCUUUUUUAUUCCAGUGGUUAACGCCACUUGACUAACGCCUUCUUUCACGUGCACUGCAUAUGGGCGUGUACAUCCACGGCCGUGCACACAAGACACUCAGCUGGAAACUUCCACGAACAAUAGAUGAUUGAAGACCCAGUUUGCUUCUGAAGAUUGAAAAGUCUUGCGUGUGGACUUUCUCACCAGUUUGCUCCACAAGACACUCCGGUUUUUCAAAAUUUCUCUCCGAUCACUAUUUGAUCGGAGUGUCUUGUGGAGCAAACCGGAGUGUCUUCAAUCAUCUAUUGUUCGUGGAAAUUUCCAGCGGGACAAAAACCUUUCGUGUUCUUCAUCUCAGUUCUAACUUUCAAACUCGAAUGACUAAUUGGAUUCUUCACCUUCAUUUCUAUAAUGGGUGCGAGUCCUCUUUUACUCACGAUCCUCACCCUCUCUUUCUUCUUAUCAGGUAAGUAAUCCAUCAUCAACUCCUCCAUAUCGAGUGAUCGAACAAACUGGUGUUUACUUUUUAGUGAUCGAGUGCAGAAACAGAGUCCGUAUCGCUCCAGAUAGUCAACAAGUGCAACGACACAAUCUGGCCCGGAAUUCUCUCCACCGGCAGAGUAAAACUGUCGACCACCGGCUUCACGCUCGAAAGCGGCGCGUCCUUGAACCUCUCCGUCCCCGACUCCUGGACAGGUCGUGUCUGGGCCCGGACACUCUGCAACCAAUAUUCCAGCGGAAACUUCUCCUGUUUCACCGCCGACUGCGGCACCGGAAAAAUCGAGUGCGACGGAAACUUUGGCAGUCUGCCGGCUACUACAGCCGAGUUCAGUCUCAACAGGACCGGCGGCGUGGACUUCUAUUUCGUCAGCCUCGUCACCGGGUUCAACCUCCCGAUAGUGGUGGAGCCUCGCGGAGCAGGCAGCAACAACUGCAGCUCUUCGGGAUGCUCGGCCGACUUGAACGGCGAUUGUCCCAAGGAGCUGAGGGUGGCGCGUGAGGGGAGCCAAGGGACCGUGGCGUGCAUGACGCCGUGCAUGGCGUUCAAUAAUUCGCGGUUUUGUUGUACGUAUCGUGCAUCCGACACGUGUGAUGGGACCGUAUAUAGCGAUUAUUUCAAACAAAGAUGCCCACAAGCGUAUACCUACUCGUAUGAUGACAACCAGAGUACGUACACCUGUGCUUCAGCUAAUGACUACAGCAUUGUUUUCUGUCCUAUCAGGUACCUAGUCCAUUAUAUAUUGUCACGUUUUAUGAUGUUCCAUUUGAGAGUCAUGUUGUAGAACCACUGCGAUUAAUCAAUUCUUGCUAUUAUAACAUGUCAAGAUGUCAAGAACCAGUAUGUUGCAUAUGAAGUUCUUGAGGAAUGUGGUAGUGAUAAGUUCUUGAGGAAUGUGCAAGUGCAAGGGGUUAAUAGUAGGUUCGAAGUUUUCUAAUUAUGUAGAACACUAGAAUUAGUAGUAUACAACUAGAAUUCAGAAAUCAUCCAUGAUACGAAUGCAGGUUAUUACAAAAGAUUUACUCCAAUUAAAGCACGUUAAUAACUGGUAACCAUCAAGCUUCGAUUCUUUAUGUCAGUUUGGACCAAACACCUUCGAAAAGUAAAAACCACAAAAUCGUGAUUGCCUUUAUAGCGGCAAGUGCUCAGAUUAUCAUCUACAUAACGAUGUUUGCGGGCCUAUGGAGCAUUACAUCGAAGAGACGACAAGGUUAGCAAAAUGAAUGCAUAGGCCGACUUGGAAUGCAGGACUUUCAGUUUUUUAGCUCGUCAUUUAUGUGAUGAUCACUCUGGUUUUUGGUGUAGAUAUCAAAAAUAGUUCAUUGGAGUUGGAGGAUGGUCGACGCUUCAUGUACUCGGAGCUUGUAAAGAUUACCAAUAAUUUUGCAUCGCCAAUUGGAGCUGGUGGAUUUGGAAAAGUCUAUCAUGGUCUUCUGGAAAAUGAUAUUCAAGUUGCUGUCAAGUUACUUAUUUCCGCAUCAGGCUCCAGUGAAUUUCAAAAUGAGGUAGAUAAGUUAACAAUCUAGCUCUAAAGCGACUCGGACUGUUCCAAAACCGCAAUUAACAUUAACUUUGAGCCAUAUAUAACAAACUGUAUGCAGGUUAAGCUAUUGAUGAGAGCUCAUCAUAGAAAUGUGGUUUCCUUCAUUGGCUACAGCUAUGAUGGAAAGACUAUGGCACUUGUAUUUGAAUAUGUGGCCAACGGAAAUCUGCGGCAACAUUUAACAUUUUCAGGUAUGC
rnacentral:lncRNA from 1 species